AGGGGUGGCGUAGGCGGUUUAUUAAGUCAGUGGUGAAAGACGGUCGCUCAACGAUUGCAGUGCCAUUGAUACUGGUAGACUUGAGUGGGAUUGAGGUAGCUGGAAUGGAUAGUGUAGCGGUGAAAUGCAUAGAUAUUAUCCAGAACACCAAUUGCGUAGGCAAGUUACUAAGUCUCAACUGACGCUGAGGCACGAAAGUGUGGGUAUCAAACAGGAUUAGAUACCCCUGU
rnacentral:rRNA from 1 species